rnacentral:rRNA from 1 species
CCUACGGGUGGCAGCAGUGAGGAAUAUUGGUCAAUGGGCGCGAGUCUGAACCAGCCAAGUAGCGUGAAGGAUGACUGCCCUACGGGUUGUAAACUUCUUUUAUAAAGGAAUAAAGUGAGGCACGUGUGCCUUUUUGUAUGUAUUUUAUGAAUAAGGAUCGGCUAACUCCGUGCCAGGAGCCGCGGUAAUACGGAGGAUCCGCGCGUUAUCCGGAUUUAUUGGGUUUAAAGGGAGGGUAUAUGGGUUGUUAAGUCAGUUGUGAAAGUUUGCGGCUCAACCGUAAAAUUGCAAUUGAUACUGGCAGCCUUGAGUGCGGGUGAGGUAGGCGGAAUUCGUGGUGUAGCGGUGAAAUGCUUAGAUAUCACGAAGAACUCCGAUUGCGAAGGCAGCUUACUAAACUGCCACUGACAUUGAUGCUCGAAAGUGUGGGUAUCAAACAGGAUUAGAUACCCUUGUAGUC